UGACAUGAGCGGACCAACAGCGUGAAAAUGCGCCCCAGCUGUGCUUGGCUGGCCUUCGGCCUGCUUUUGCAGCUGAAUCUUCACCUGGACUUGGGUCAAGCGGCCAGCAUCCUGGGCGUGUUCCCGUACCGCAUUCCCUCUCCCUUUCAGAUGGUACGACCUUUGAUGAGGGCGCUGGUGGAGCGGGGACACAAGGUGACGAUGGUCACACCCGCUGGUUAUCCGGACGAGAUAGACGGAGUGCGGCACAUACGAGUGGCCACGCUGAACCAGCUCAUGCAGAAUCUAAUGGACAACGACCAAUUCGUUGACGCAUUGGGUGAUAAAUGGAAGGAGGGUGUUCUCGCAUCCACGAUUUUCUACAACGUUUCCCAUGCCAUUCUCAGCGAUACUGGUGUUCAGUUGAUGAUGCGGGAUAGAAGUGAAAGAUUUGAUAUGAUCAUGGUGGAAGCUAGCCACCUGGAUGCACUCUACGGACUGGCUGAGUUCUACAACGCCACCCUGCUGGGGAUUUCGUGUAUGCACAUGAGCUGGCAUAUCGACUACUUGGCGGGAAAUCUGGCUCCGAGUGUAUAUGAGCCCGUGUCCCCUAUCGGGUUUGCCCUCGAUGACUCACUCCUAAGUAGGGCGUUCAAUUGGAUUUAUAUCACCGAGGAGAAGCUCCUGGAACGCCUAGUUUACCGACCCGCCCAAGUGCGAUUGCUAAAAAAGUUCUUCGGAUAUCCGGCGGAGAAGCUGGAUGAGCUACGGUCCAGAUUCUCGGUCAUCCUGGUUAAUACCCACUUCAGCAUGGGAAGGGUGCGAGCCAAUGUGCCCAACAUCAUUGAGGUAGCAGGAGUGCAUCUCAGCGAGCCCCCAGAGCCAUGUGGUGCGGAGCUGCAGAAAUAUUUGGACGAGGCCGAGCACGGCGUCAUCUACUUCUCAAUGGGCCAGGAUAUCCUGAUGAAGUAUCUGCCGGAAAAUAUGCAGAAGCAACUGCUGCUGGCCUUCUCCCGGUUGAAACAACGGGUGAUUUGGAAGACUGAGCUGUCCGUGCUGCCGAACCAAUCGGAAAACAUAUUUCUGUUGGACAAUGUGCCCCAGCGAAUGGUGCUGGCGCAUCCCAAUCUCCGGCUGUUCAUCUCCCACGGCGGCCUGCAGAGUGUGAUGGAGGCCAUUGACAACGGAGUGCCCAUGCUGGGAAUGCCUCUGUUCUUCGACCAGUUCAAUAACAUGCAUCGAGUGCAGCUAGCCGGAAUGGCUAAGGUCUUGGACCCCAACGAGUUGAACGCAGAUACUCUCAUCGAAACUAUCACAGAGCUACUGGAAAAUCCUAGCUAUGGGGAAACAGCUAAAGAAAUGGCAGAGUCCUUCAGGGAUCGACCAAUGAGUCCUCUGGAGACUGCCAUCUGGUGGACGGAGUACGCUCUGCGGAAUCGGGAUACUUCUCACAUGCGUCUCGAUGUAGAGGCGAUUCCUCUAAUGCGAUACUACAGACUGGACAGCUUACUCACCGUGGGAGUUCGCUUUGCCUUCGUCGUUGGAUCGCUGAUCUUUCUGGGCUGGAGGUUGUACGAGAAAAAUCGCAAUAGGAAUAGAAGACUUCGAGAAAGGCAUAUGGCGUUUUCGCAGAUACAAUUGCGAUUGAGAGAUUAUGAAGCAGUAACCUAGAUUGCUUCAAUUUCAAUUGCAAGUUGAGGUACACGCUUUCUAGAUCUCGAAUUUUAUAAGAUUUGCUCAGUUGCGGUCAGAGCUCCAACAUGAACGAACCGAAUUCGUGAAAAUGUGCCUCGGAUAUUGCUGGCUGACUGUCUGCCUGUGCCUGCUGCUGCAACAGGAUCUUCACCAGGAC